rnacentral:tRNA from 1 species
UGGCGCAAUGGAUAGCGCACCGGACUUCUAUCUUGAGACAAUCCGGGGGUUGUGGGUUCAAGUCCCAC